GCACCUUUAGCUCAGUUGGUAGAGCAGUAGACUCUUAAUCUAUUUGUCCAGGGUUCGAGUCCCUGAAGGUGCACUA
rnacentral:tRNA from 2 species